AACAAAGAGAUAACACAAAAACAAUCUCUUCUCCCCCUUUGUCAUUAACAAAAAGGGUGAAAUAAGGAAAAAAGUAUCAAUCAUGCAAACAAUAUAUACUGAGCACCACAUAACACAAAAGAUAAUGCAAAGAUAACAUAAGAUAAACCAACCGUUUUAGCAUAGUCUUAAAAUAAAACUAGAAUUGUACUAAAUUAAAUAAAAACAUAAACUAGUGAAUAUAAAAAAAAUA
rnacentral:lncRNA from 1 species